AACGAACGCUGGCGGCAGGCUUAACACAUGCAAGUCGAGCGCCCCGCAAGGGGAGCGGCAGACGGGUGAGUAACGCGUGGGAACAUACCCUUUGGUUCGGAAUAACUCAGGGAAACUUGAGCUAAUACCGGAUACGUCCGUAAGGAGAAAGAUUUAUCGCCAAAGGAUUGGCCCGCGUCCGAUUAGCUAGUUGGUGAGGUAACGGCUCACCAAGGCUACGAUCGGUAGCUGGUCUGAGAGGAUGAUCAGCCACAUUGGGACUGAGACACGGCCCAAACUCCUACGGGAGGCAGCAGUGGGGAAUAUUGGACAAUGGGCGGCAAGCCUGAUCCAGCCAUGCGCGUGAGUGAUGAAGGCUUA
rnacentral:rRNA from 1 species